UACGGGGGGGGCAAGCGUUGUUCGGAAUUACUGGGCGUAAAGGGCGCGCAGGCUGCUACGCACGUCCGUUGUGAAAUCGCUCGGCUCAACUGGGCGGGGUCAGCGGAUACGGCGUAGCUGGAGCAAGCUAGGGGGCAAUGGAAUUCCCGGUGUAGUGGUGGAAUGCGUAGAUAUCGGGAGGAACACCAGUGGCGAAGGCGGUUGCCUGGAGCUUUGCUGACGCUGAGGCGCGAAAGCGUGGGGAGCGAUCCGG
rnacentral:rRNA from 1 species